CCCACACUGUGUAAUUUGACUCCUAACACUGAUUGGUAGAUUAAGUAACCAAUCAGAGUGUUAUGAGUCAAAUUACACAGCGUGGGAAAUUAGGUCCCGCCCCCCUUGCUAUAAUUUAAGGCCACCACCCACCACUCAGGGGUGGGGCCGGGGAAGGACAUUAGGUCCCCCCUCCAAUUUUUAUUUAGGGCCCCCACCCUCCACUCAUGGGUGGGGGCCGG